CAUGAGCAAGCUCUGGGAGUUGGUGAUGGACAGGGAAGCCUGGCGUGCUGCAGUGCAUGGGGUCACAGAGUUGGACACGGCUGAGCGACUGAACUGAUUGAAGUGCAGUUGAUUAACAAGGCUGUGUGAGUUUCAGGCGGCGUGGCGGAGGCGGCUGGUGUCGGAUGAACCCGGAUUCGGGACGACCGAAGAAAGGUGCACCUUUGCCUCCUCCGAGCCGAGAGCUGAGAGCCACGGUACUUUUAUAAUCUCCCGCUCCAUGUUCAGUGUGAUUCUUUGAAUUGAUUCCGUUCUUUAAACUGAAUGUGUCUAGAGAAACAUCCAAAACUCUUUUGAGAAAUUGUACCAUGAAAAUGAUCAGAGAAAUGGGCCCACUGCUGGAGGGGAUGCAGGGUCAAAAAAAAA
ensembl:lncRNA